rnacentral:rRNA from 1 species
GUGCAUGUGGUGGAUGCCUUGGCAGUCAGAGGCGAUGAAAGACGUGAUAGCCUGCGAAAAGCUCCGGGGAGGCGGCAAAUAUCCUUUGAUCCGGAGAUGUCUGAAUGGGGGAACCCACCUACUUUAAGGUAGGUAUUGCAACAUGAAUACAUAGUGUUGCAAGGCGAACGAGGGGAAGUGAAACAUCUCAGUACCCUUAGGAAAAGAAAUCAAUUGAGAUUCCCUCAGUAGCGGCGAGCGAACGGGGAUCAGCCCAUUAAGUUAUGUGUGUUUUAGUGGAACGCUCUGGGAAGUGCGAACGUAGAGGGUGAUAUUCCCGUACACGAAAGGGCACACAUAAUGAUGACGAGUAGGGCGAGGCACGUGAAACCUUGUCUGAAUAUGGGGGGACCAUCCUCCAAGGCUAAAUACUCCUGACUGACCGAUAGUGAACCAGUACCGUGAGGGAAAGGCGAAAAGAACCCCUGUGAGGGGAGUGAAAUAGAUCCUGAAACCGCAUGCAUACAAGCAGUGGGAGCACCUUCGUGGUGUGACUGCGUACCUUUUGUAUAAUGGGUCAGCGACUUAUAUUCAGUAGCGAGGUUAACCGUAUAGGGGAGCCGUAGAGAAAUCGAGUCUUAAUAGGGCGUUUAGUUGCUGGGUAUAGACCCGAAACCAGGCGAUCUAUCCAUGAGCAGGUUGAAGGUUGGGUAACACUAACUGGAGGACCGAACCCACUGUCGUUGAAAAGCCAGGGGAUGACUUGUGGAUAGGGGUGAAAGGCUAAUCAAGCCUGGUGAUAGCUGGUUCUCCCCGAAAGCUAUUUAGGUAGCGCCUCGGACGAAUACCAUAGGGGGUAGAGCACUGUUUCGGCUAGGGGGUCAUCCCGACUUACCAAACCGAUGCAAACUCCGAAUACCUAUGAGUACUAUCCGGGAGACAGACUGCGGGUGCUAACGUCCGUAGUCAAGAGGAAAACAAUCCAGACCGCCAGCUAAGGCCCCAAAAUCAUAGUUAAGUGGGAAACGAUGUGGGAAGGCAUAGACAGCUAGGAGGUUGGCUUAGAAGCAGCCACCCUUUAAAGAAAGCGUAAUAGCUCACUAGUCGAGUCGGCCUGCGCGGAAGAUGUAACGGGGCUAAAACUAUGUGCCGAAGCUGCGGAUGUAUACUUUGUAUACGUGGUAGGGGAGCGUUCUGUAAGCCGAUGAAGGUGUGUUGAGAAGCAUGCUGGAGGUAUCAGAAGUGCGAAUGCUGACGUGAGUAACGACAAAACGGGUGAAAAACCCGUUCGCCGAAAGACCAAGGGUUCCAGUCCAACGUUAAUCGGGGCUGGGUGAGUCGACCCCUAAGGCGAGGCCGAAAGGCGUAGUCGAUGGGAAAAUGGUUAAUAUUCCAUUACUUCUGUGUAAUGCGAUGAGAGGACGGAGAAGGCUAAAUCAGCCUGGCGUUGGUUGUCCAGGUGAAAGGAUGUAGGCAUGUAUCUUAGGCAAAUCCGGGGUACUCUAUGCUGAGAUCUGAUAGCAAGCUGUACUUGUACAGCGAAGUGGUUGAUGCCAUGCUUCCAGGAAAAGUCUCUAAGCUUCAGUUACACAGGAAUCGUACCCGAAACCGACACAGGUGGUCAGGUCGAGUAGACCAAGGCGCUUGAGAGAACUCUGCUGAAGGAACUAGGCAAAAUGGUACCGUAACUUCGGGAGAAGGUACGCUGUUGUUGGUGAUGGAACUCGCUUCCUGAGCUGACGACAGCCGCAGAAACCAGGCCGCUGCAACUGUUUAUUAAAAACAUAGCACUCUGCAAACACGAAAGUGGACGUAUAGGGUGUGAUGCCUGCCCGGUGCUGGAAGGUUAAUUGAUGGGGUUAGCGUAAGCGAAGCUCUUGAUCGAAGCCCCAGUAAACGGCGGCCGUAACUAUAACGGUCCUAAGGUAGCGAAAUUCCUUGUCGGGUAAGUUCCGACCUGCACGAAUGGCAUAAUGAUGGCGGCGCUGUCUCCAGCAGAGGCUCAGUGAAAUCGAAAUCGCUGUGAAGAUGCAGUGUACCCGCGGCUAGACGGAAAGACCCCGUGAACCUUUACUGCAGCUUGACACUGAACUUUGACCUUACUUGUGUAGGAUAGGUGGGAGGCUUUGAAGCUGGAACGCUAGUUCCAGUGGAGCCGUCCUUGAAAUACCACCCUGGUAAUGUUGAGGUUCUAACUCUGUCCCGUGAUCCGGGACGAGGACCGUGUCUGGUGGGUAGUUUGACUGGGGCGGUCUCCUCCUAAAGAGUAACGGAGGAGUACGAAGGUGCGCUCAGCGUGGUCGGAAAUCACGCGUAGAGUAUAAAGGCAAAAGCGCGCUUAACUGCGAGACCCACAAGUCGAGCAGGUACGAAAGUAGGUCUUAGUGAUCCGGUGGUUCUGUAUGGAAGGGCCAUCGCUCAACGGAUAAAAGGUACUCUGGGGAUAACAGGCUGAUACCGCCCAAGAGUUCAUAUCGACGGCGGUGUUUGGCACCUCGAUGUCGGCUCAUCUCAUCCUGGGGCUGAAGCAGGUCCCAAGGGUAUGGCUGUUCGCCAUUUAAAGAGGUACGCGAGCUGGGUUUAGAACGUCGUGAGACAGUUCGGUCCCUAUCUACCGUGGGCGCUGGAAAUUUGAGAGGAUCUGCUCCUAGUACGAGAGGACCAGAGUGGACGAACCUCUGGUGUACCGGUUGUGACGCCAGUCGCAUCGCCGGGUAGCUAUGUUCGGAAGGGAUAACCGCUGAAAGCAUCUAAGCGGGAAGCCUACCUCAAGAUAAGAUUUCCCUAGGACUUUAUGUCCUCUAAAGAGCCGUUCGAGACUAGGACGUUGAUAGGUUGGAUGUGGAAGCAUAGUGAUAUGUGAAGCUGACCAAUACUAAUUGCUCGUGAGGCUUGACUA